rnacentral:rRNA from 2 species
CUGUGAGCUCGAUGAGUAGGGCGGGACACGUGGUAUCCUGUCUGAAUAUGGGGGGACCAUCCUCCAAGGCUAAAUACUCCUGACUGACCGAUAGUGAACCAGUACCGUGAGGGAAAGGCGAAAAGAACCCCGGCGAGGGGAGUGAAAAAGAACCUGAAACCGUGUACGUACAAGCAGUGGGAGCACAGAGCAAUCUGUGUGACUGCGUACCUUUUGUAUAAUGGGUCAGCGACUUAUAUUCUGUAGCAAGGUUAACCGAAUAGGGGAGCCGAAGGGAAACCGAGUCUUAACCGGGCGUUAAGUUGCAGGGUAUAGACCCGAAACCCGGUGAUCUAGCCAUGGGCAGGUUGAAGGUUGGGUAACACUAACUGGAGGACCGAACCGACUAAUGUUGAAAAAUUAGCGGAUGACUUGUGGCUGGGGGUGAAAGGCCAAUCAAACCGGGAGAUAGCUGGUUCUCCCCGAAAGCUAUUUAGGUAGCGCCUCGUGAAUUCAUCUCCGGGGGUAGAGCACUGUUUCGGCAAGGGGGUCAUCCCGACUUACCAACCCGAUGCAAACUGCGAAUACCGGAGAAUGUUAUCACGGGAGACACACGGCGGGUGCUAACGUCCGUCGUGAAGAGGGAAACAACCCAGACCGCCAGCUAAGGUCCCAAAGUCAUGGUUAAGUGGGAAACGAUGUGGGAAGGCCCAGACAGCCAGGAUGUUGGCUUAGAAGCAGCCAUCAUUUAAAGAAAGCGUAAUAGCUCACUGGUCGAGUCGGCCUGCGCGGAAGAUGUAACGGGGCUAAACCAUGCACCGAAGCUGCGGCAGCGACACUGUGUGUUGUUGGGUAGGGGAGCGUUCUGUAAGCCUGUGAAGGUGUGCUGUGAGGCAUGCUGGAGGUAUCAGAAGUGCGAAUGCUGACAUAAGUAACGAUAAAGCGGGUGAAAAGCCCGCUCGCCGGAAGACCAAGGGUUCCUGUCCAACGUUAAUCGGGGCAGGGUGAGUCGACCCCUAAGGCGAGGCCGAAAGGCGUAGUCGAUGGGAAACAGGUUAAUAUUCCUGUACUUGGUGUUACUGCGAAGGGGGGACGGAGAAGGCUAUGUUGGCCGGGCGACGGUUGUCCCGGUUUAAGCGUGUAGGCUGGUUUUCCAGGCAAAUCCGGAAAAUCAAGGCUGAGGCGUGAUGACGAGGCACUACGGUGCUGAAGCAACAAAUGCCCUGCUUCCAGGAAAAGCCUCUAAGCAUCAGGUAACAUCAAAUCGUACCCCAAACCGACACAGGUGGUCAGGUAGAGAAUACCAAGGCGCUUGAGAGAACUCGGGUGAAGGAACUAGGCAAAAUGGUGCCGUAACUUCGGGAGAAGGCACGCUGAUAUGUAGGUGAAGUCCCUCGCGGAUGGAGCUGAAAUCAGUCGAAGAUACCAGCUGGCUGCAACUGUUUAUUAAAAACACAGCACUGUGCAAACACGAAAGUGGACGUAUACGGUGUGACGCCUGCCCGGUGCCGGAAGGUUAAUUGAUGGGGUCAGCGCAAGCGAAGCUCUUGAUCGAAGCCCCGGUAAACGGCGGCCGUAACUAUAACGGUCCUAAGGUAGCGAAAUUCCUUGUCGGGUAAGUUCCGACCUGCACGAAUGGCGUAAUGAUGGCCAGGCUGUCUCCACCCGAGACUCAGUGAAAUUGAACUCGCUGUGAAGAUGCAGUGUACCCGCGGCAAGACGGAAAGACCCCGUGAACCUUUACUAUAGCUUGACACUGAACAUUGAGCCUUGAUGUGUAGGAUAGGUGGGAGGCUUUGAAGUGUGGACGCCAGUCUGCAUGGAGCCGACCUUGAAAUACCACCCUUUAAUGUUUGAUGUUCUAACGUGGACCCGUGAUCCGGGUUGCGGACAGUGUCUGGUGGGUAGUUUGACUGGGGCGGUCUCCUCCUAAAGAGUAACGGAGGAGCACGAAGGUUGGCUAAUCCUGGUCGGACAUCAGGAGGUUAGUGCAAUGGCAUAAGCCAGCUUGACUGCGAGCGUGACGGCGCGAGCAGGUGCGAAAGCAGGUCAUAGUGAUCCGGUGGUUCUGAAUGGAAGGGCCAUCGCUCAACGGAUAAAAGGUACUCCGGGGAUAACAGGCUGAUACCGCCCAAGAGUUCAUAUCGACGGCGGUGUUUGGCACCUCGAUGUCGGCUCAUCACAUCCUGGGGCUGAAGUAGGUCCCAAGGGUAUGGCUGUUCGCCAUUUAAAGUGGUACGCGAGCUGGGUUUAGAACGUCGUGAGACAGUUCGGUCCCUAUCUGCCGUGGGCGCUGGAGAACUGAGGGGGGCUGCUCCUAGUACGAGAGGACCGGAGUGGACGCAUCACUGGUGUUCGGGUUGUCAUGCCAAUGGCACUGCCCGGUAGCUAAAUGCGGAAGAGAUAAGUGCUGAAAGCAUCUAAGCACGAAACUUGCCCCGAGAUGAGUUCUCCCUGACCCUUUAAGGGUCCUGAAGGAACGUUGAAGACGACGACGUUGAUAGGCCGGGUGUGUAAGCGCAGCGAUGCGUUGAGCUAACCGGUACUAAUGAACCGUGAGGCUUAACCUUACAACGCCGAAGGUGUUU